AUUGAACGCUGGCGGUAUGCUUAACACAUGCAAGUCGAACGGUAACAGGUCUAGCUUGCUAGAUGCUGACGAGUGGCGGACGGGUGAGUAACGCGUAGGAAUCUACCUUAUAGUGGGGAAUAGCCUGGGGAAACUCAGGAUAAUACCGCAUGUGUCUUACGAGAUAAAGCAGGGGACCUUCGGGCCUUGCGCUAUAAGAUGAGCCUGCGUCGGAUUAGCUAGUUGGUGGGGUAAAGGCCUACCAAGGCGACGAUCCGUAGCUGGUCUGAGAGGACGACCAGCCACACUGGGACUGAGACACGGCCCAGACUCCUACGGGUGGCAG
rnacentral:rRNA from 1 species